ACGCAUUUCUUUCUACGUCAAUUUACAGCCUCUAUAGAUUUAGUUAACAUAUUUUAUAUAAUUUUUACAACUAUAAAUUAAUUAAAAUAAAAUUUAAAUUUAAAGUAUCGUUUACGGACUUAGAACAAACAGAUUGAGAGUAGUUGAUUCAAAAAUUGUUUACAGUAUAUAUAAGUUUGCAUAUUUUUUUUAUUUGAAAAUAAAAGAAUAUUUAAAUUAUCGGGUAAACUUCAAAUAUCACCUUUGUGAUUUCGCACUUUCUCACUUUAGUAUCCUGCAGUUUAAAGCGCAUCAAUUUAAUACCCUAUGGUUUUAUAUCUUUUCUUUUCGUCAGCUUCUUUGUUAACAUUUUGUUAAAUUAUAUACAAAAAAAACUUUAGAAACCCACCUAAGUUUAUCGAAUAUUCACUUUAGUAUCUUUUAGUUUUAACUUUUUCACUGAUUUAACAAAAAAAAAUUAGUGAAAGGGAUAAUAAAAGAAGAAAAAUAAAAUUAUGGGUUACUAAAUUGAUACGUUUCAAUCCAAAUAAUACUAAAAUAAAAAAUGUAAAACUGCAUGUGUGUUAU
rnacentral:lncRNA from 1 species